rnacentral:rRNA from 1 species
CCUACGGGAGGCAGCAGUGGGGAAUUUUGGACAAUGGGCGAAAGCCUGAUCCAGCCAUGCCGCGUGUCUGAAGAAGGCCUUCGGGUUGUAAAGGACUUUUGUCAGGGAGGAAAUCCCUAGCGUUAAUACCGCUGGGGGAUGACAGUACCUGAAGAAUAAGCACCGGCUAACUACGUGCCAGCAGCCGCGGUAAUACGUAGGGUGCGAGCGUUAAUCGGAAUUACUGGGCGUAAAGCGUGCGCAGGCGGUUUGAUAAGCCAGAUGUGAAAUCCCCGAGCUCAACUUGGGAACUGCGUUUGGAACUGUCAGACUAGAGUGCGUCAGAGGGGGGUGGAAUUCCGCGUGUAGCAGUGAAAUGCGUAGAGAUGCGGAGGAACACCGAUGGCGAAGGCAGCCCCCUGGGAUGACACUGACGCUCAUGCACGAAAGCGUGGGGAGCAAACAGGAUUAGAUACCCUGGUAGUCCACGCCCUAAACGAUGUCAAUUAGCUGUUGGGGGUUAGAAUCCCUGGUAGCGUAGCUAACGCGUGAAAUUGACCGCCUGGGGAGUACGGCCGCAAGGUUAAAACUCAAAGGAAUUGACGG